GGGGGUGUAGCUCAGCUGGGAGAGCACCUGCUUUGCACGCAGGGGGUCAGGAGUUCGAUUCUCCUCAUCUCCA
rfam:Ethanoligenens harbinense YTAN-3, complete genome.